GAUGAACGCUGGCGGCGUGCCUAAUGCAUGCAAGUCGAACGCUGGAGAUCUAGCUUGCUAGAUCGAAGGAGUGGCGAACGGGUGAGUAAUACAUAAGCAACCUACCCACGAAGACUGGGAUAAUCUCUGGAAACGGGGACUAAUACCGGAUAGGUAAUCGGAAGGCAUCUUCUGGUUAUUAAAGGUUAAAAACACUGGUGGAUGGGCUUAUGGCGCAUUAGUUAGUUGGUGAGGUAACGGCCCACCAAGACGAUGAUGCGUAGCCGGCCUGAGAGGGUGAACGGCCACAUUGGGACUGAGACACGGCCCAGACUCCUACGGGAGGCAGCAGUAGGGAAUUUUCGGCAAUGGGGGCAACCCUGACCGAGCAACGCCGCGUGAGUGAAGACGGCCUUCGGGUUGUAAAGCUCUGUUGUAAGGGAAGAACGGUAGAUAGAGAAUAUCUAAGUGACGGUACCUUACCAGAAAGCCACGGCUAACUACGU
rnacentral:rRNA from 1 species